rnacentral:tRNA from 1 species
AGUCUUAUAGUCAAUGAUGAUAUUAAAUUGCAAAUUUAAAGGUUUUUUUUAUUUAAGGCUU